GAUUUCUGGCGAGAUAUAUCUGGCCGGCCACGGUUUCGUGUGUUAGUGCUUGAUAUUCUAGCCAUCCUUCCAAUGGCUAUUCAUCCUUCUUCAUUGAGGUGGUGAGUGGUAUUGGAUCUUUUACUUUGAAAAAAUUAGAGUGUUUCAAGCAGGCUUUAUGCUAUGAAUACAUUAGCAUGGAAUAAUAAUUUAGGACUUCGGUUCUAUUUUGUUGGUUUCUAGGACUGAAGUAAUGAUUGAUAGGGAUAGUUGGGGGUGCUAGUAUUCAGCGGCCAGAGGUGAAAUUCUCGGAUUCGCUGAAGACUAACUUAUGCGAAAGCAUU
rnacentral:rRNA from 1 species